GGAGAAGUACUCAAGUGGCUGAAGAGGCUCCCCUGCUAAGGGAGUAGAUCCCAAUUUACGGGAUGCGAGGGUUCAAAUCCCUCCUUCUCCGCCA
rnacentral:tRNA from 3 species